CUCUCUAAAUAUCAAGCGAAGUGCUAAGACCUGCAAAUAAAGGGUUCCAGGCAGAGAAGAGGACUCUAUCCUGCUUUCUGCAUUUGCUUUGCUAUGAACUGAAUUUUAUCUCCCACCUUCAAUUCAUAGGCCGAAGCUGUAAAGGCCAAAGUGACUGUAUUUGAAAAUAGGAUCUGGAGGAGGAUCAUGGCUAGCGUCUGGGCAUCGGAAUGACCACUUGGAGAGAGAAGAU
rnacentral:lncRNA from 10 species